UGGUAGAGGGUGGUGGGUGUGGAUGAUGUGAAUCAAACUAUGAAAACAAAAACAAGAUGCAGAAAUCAAAGUACCAAAGGAAAGAGACAAAUAAAUACCCACAAAAAGCGGAAAUAGUAAGCAACUCAAGGGUAUAUUGAUCUUGGGCACAUUUAUACGCUCAAGUGUUGUCUUAUGCUCAUGUAAUAGGAUGAAAUUGCCAAAAGAUUAAGAUUAAGAGAUAACAAGGGAACUAAUCUUAGAGAGAAGCUACGGAAGUGCACAUGUGACGCUCCUCAAGCUAAAGAAUGUGAAGAUUGAAGCCAAAAACUUAUCAAGAGUGAGAUGUGAUGUACUCAAAGCUAUGACACAACGUUAAAGAUCAUCUUUGAUAAGGUUUAGCAAACCAAAACAGUAGCUUGGUGCGGUAUCAAGGUGCCACAGAGCUAGGGAAUAGAAGAAACGAAGUAGAAAUGCGUUUAGUCAGCUAGGCAGUAGCCUGCCGUGAUAUUGGGGAGUCACUGAGGUUGUCUAUACGAUAUCAAGGUCUCACAGACCUUGGUCUUGCCGAGUUCAAAUUGUCCUACACUAUAAAUCAAACACUUACCUUUAAUUAUAUUCAUUCUUGAACGA